ACGUUUAUUGUGGUUAUUUUCCCAGGUGUCUUAGAAGCAGCUGUUUUGUGCUUUCCUGAACUUAAUAGUUGAAGAAUGUGGGAAAGAAAUGGCGUACUUUCUGGAGGAUUCAUUUCAUAGGUGUCUAUACAUCAGUCAAGAAAAUGACUAUAGAGGAAUUACCAAGACUGUUAAUAAAGAUCAAUCAUAGAUUGGGUAUUGUGACCUGUGUUUCCUCGAUGAAGAUUCCAAAGCUCUGAGUCCUCCAAGUGACUCACUUGCUUGAGGUACACAGAACAUUCUGGAGUUGAGCUUUGAACCCAGCUCUGUGUUCCACACUCACUCUCGUCCCCCUUCAUCAGAAGUUCCACCUACGUCGGGCGAGUGAGGAGACAAAUAGCAGAUGGACUUAAAUGUGGGUUAAUAUACUUAGCAAAGGAACAAUCCAAACUACUUACAGGAUAUGGGCUCUUAGCUACAAAUUACACGUCAUGAAGGAAACCUGGGGACACUGUGUAGGCUGUCACUCAAGAUGACAGCUGCCCAUCCCCUAAAGGCAGUCGAUCCAGGAACAUUUGUUGAGCACUCACUUUGCAUGGAGAUAGAAAAUGUGCUUGCACUUGAAAAACUUAACAUCUUUUCUCACAAGACUUUUUUAAUGUUGCUGUAGUGAGAAAAGUUCCCUGUAAAAGCUCUCUAAACAGCACAUUGGUCUGUAUAUGGAAAGGAGAGAUAAGGGUACCUUCCUUCAGUGCCGUGUACUGAUUUGGAGUGUGUUUUGGAAAUGAAGACUAGAAGUUAGAAUAAGUUUACUUUGAUCUAAAGGAGGUAUUUUCUUAGUAGAGUCAUUAUGAUAUUAUUCCCUAGCUAUUAAAAUUUGCCAUCUUGAUGCUUGGUUAUUCACUGAAAGAAAUGAAAUAUUUAUUAAGGUCAUAUCACUGUUGCAUACAGAGGGAGCCACGGAGUGAUUUUUAUGCCAUGCUUUUUGGUAGCAAUGUUUCUGCUGGGUUGCAUCAACAUCUGUAAAUUAUAUUGAUUAUAAUUAAGUCAGUCUCCAUUGUCUCUAAGAAUUUACAUGGUUUAAAAAUCAG